CGCGCAGCUUACCAUGCAGUCGAGCGGUAACAGGGGGUGCUUGCACCCCGCUGACGAGCGGCGGACGGGUGAGUAAUGCAUAGGAAUCUGCCCAGUAGUGGGGGAUAGCCCGGGGAAACCCGGAUUAAUACCGCAUACGCCCUUUGGGGGAAAGCAGGGGAUCUUCGGACCUUGCGCUAUUGGAUGAGCCUAUGUCGGAUUAGCUAGUUGGUGGGGUAAAGGCCUACCAAGGCGACGAUCCGUAGCUGGUCUGAGAGGAUGAUCAGCCACAUCGGGACUGAGACACGGCCCGAACUCCUACGGGAGGCAGCAGUGGGGAAUAUUGGACAAUGGGGGCAACCCUGAUCCAGCCAUGCCGCGUGUGUGAAGAAGGCUUUCGGGUUGUAAAGCACUUUCAGUGAGGAGGAAAACCUUCUGGUUAAUACCCAUGAGGCUUGACGUUACUCACAGAAGAAGCACCGGCUAACUCCGUGCCAGCAGCCGCGGUAAUACGGAGGGUGCAAGCGUUAAUCGGAAUUACUGGGCGUAAAGCGCGCGUAGGUGGUUUGAUAAGCGAGAUGUGAAAGCCCCGGGCUUAACCUGGGAACGGCAUUUCGAACUGUCAGGCUAG
rnacentral:rRNA from 1 species